GGAGAGGGAGCCUGAGAAAUGGCUACCACGUCUAAGGAUGGCAGCAGGCGCGCAAAUUACCCAAUCCUGAAACAGGCAGGUAGUGACAGAAAAUAGCAACACAAAGCAUUUGCUUUUUGAUUGCAAUGUGGAUCUUCCAAAUUUUGCUUCGAGAAUCAAUUGGAGGGCAAGUCUGGUGCCAGCAGCCGCGGUAAUUCCAGCUCCAAUAGUGUAUAUUAAAGUUGUUGCAGUUAAAAAGCUCGUAGUUGUUGGGGUUGGGAAAUUUGAAGAAUCUUCACUGGUCUUCAGACUUCCUAAAAGCUGUUUCAAUCGGCUUUGUGUUACUUUGAGAAAAUUUGAGUGUUCAUCUCGGGCAAAUUGCUUACAUAAUGUACCAUGGAAUAACUCUGUGGCCCUAAUUCUGUCUUUUGGCUUACAUUAUUGGGGUUCGUGGUUGAAAGGAAUAGUUGGGGGCAUUCGUACUGAACAGUUAGAGGUGAAAUUCUUAGAUUUGUUCAAGACGAACCAGUGCGAAAGCAUCUGCCAAGGAUGUUUUCAUUAAUCAAGAUCGAAAGUUAGGGGAUCGAAGACGAUCAGAUACCGUCGUAGUCUUAACUGUAAACAAUGCCGACUAGAGAUCGGUGGAAUUCGAAUUGGAAUCCUUCGGCAUCUACAGAGAAAUCAAAGUUCUUGGGUUCUGGGGGGAGUAUGGUCGCAAGGCUGAAACUUAAAGGAAUUGACGGAAGGGCACCACCAGGAGUGGAGCCUGCGGCUUAAUUUGACCCAACACGGGAAAACUUACCAGGUCCGGACAUAGGUAUGAUUGACAGACUGAGAGCUCUUUCUUGAUUCUAUGGGUGGUGGUGCAUGGCCGUUCUUAGUUGGUGGAUUGAUUUGUCUGGUUGAUUCCGACAACGAACGAGACCUUUACUUUCUAAUUAGAUCCAAGACAUACGUGUUUCCUGGGUCGCCUUAGCAGAACUUUGUGCGUUGCAGCACAAUGAAGCACAGGCAAUAACAGGUCUGUGAUGCCCUUAGAUGUUCUGGGCUGCACGCGUGCUACAAUGAAACUUACCAUAAGUUGCGAUGUCGAAAAGCUAUGCAAAUCUUUGAAUGCGUUUCGUGACAGGGACAGUUGAUUGUAAUUUUUCGACUCGAACGAGGAAUUCCUUGUAAUCGUGAUUCAUCAUAUCGCGCUGAAUACGUCCCUGCCCUUUGUACACACCGCCCGUCGCUCCUACCGAUUGGGCGAUCCGGUGAAUUAUUUGGAGUUUUGACGAUUUCUUUCGGAAACCUGCCAAUUCAAAUUUUUGUGAACCUUAUUGCUUAGAGGAAGGAAAAGUCGUAACAAGGUU
rnacentral:rRNA from 1 species